AAGUCGUAACAAGGUUUCCGUAGGUGAACCUGCGGAAGGAUCAUUAACACUUUACAAAAAACAAAACUCAAAAUUUCCCUUUUGAAUCCCUCUCUUUUCUUUUCUCUUUCUCUUCUCUUCGGAGGGGAGACUGAGAGAGUCAAGAGAUUUUCAAAUUUAAUUUGAACAAAAAUGUGUAACCUUACUUUUUUACUUAUGGAUUUGAGGACAGAGGACGAGGGGGGGAUUUUCUCUCUCUCUCUUCGUGGUUCUCAGAUUUUCUCAUAAACCAGUUAAACCCAAUAAAUCAAAAUAUGGCGUAUCAGAGGUCUUGUCUUUUGACUUGCCCUCUUGAUCCCCCAUAGUUAAACCAAAAACAAAAAACCAAAAACUAAAAAACUAAAAAAUAAAACACAACUCUUAACAAUGGAUAUCUUGGUUCUCGC
rnacentral:misc_RNA from 1 species